rfam:Tetrapisispora phaffii CBS 4417 chromosome 4, complete genome
GGGAGUUUGGCCGAGUGGUCUAAGGCGUCAGAUUUAGGUUUCAAGUUUGCCCCAUGCAAAGUUUCUACUUAAACAUUCUGAUAUCUUCGGAUGCAAGGGUUCGAACCCCUUAGCUCUCA